AACGCUAAUACCGCAGACAUCCAACGGGAGAAAACAGGGGACCUUCGGGCCUUGCGCUAUCGUAUGAGCCUAUGUCCGAAUAGCUGGUUGGAGAGGUAAUGGCUCACCAAGGCUACGAUCCCUAACUGGUCUGAGAGGAUGAUCAAUCCCACUGGAACUGAGACACGGUCCAGACUCCUACGGGAGGCAGCAGUGGGGAAUAUUGGACGAUGGGCGAAUGCCUGAUCCCGCCAUGCCGCGUGUGUGAAUAAGGUCUUCGGAUUGUGAAGCUCUUUAAAUUGGAAGGAAGGGCAAUAAGCGAAUACCUUGCUGUUUUGACGUUACCGACACAAUAAGCACCGGCUAACUCUGUGCCAGCAGCCGCGGUAAUACAAAGGGUGCAAGCGUUAAUCGGAAUUACUGGUCGUAAA
rnacentral:rRNA from 1 species